rnacentral:ncRNA from 1 species
UGGGUGGUAUCAUUUAUGAGCUGCACCACAGAAUAUAAGAAAAAAACGAUUAAUUCUGCCUUGAUCCGCUAAAAGGACGGGGACAGAGG